rnacentral:rRNA from 1 species
UACGUAGGGGGCAAGCGUUGUCCGGAUUUAUUGGGCGUAAAGCGCACGCAGGCGGUCUCUUAAGUUUUGAGUGACAGGUGGGGGCUUAACCCUCGCAGGCCUUGGAAAACUGGGAGACUUGAGGACGAGAGAGGGAUGCGGAAUUCCAGGUGGAGCGGUGAAAUGCGUAGAGAUCUGGAAGAACACCAAAGGCGAAGGCAGCAUCCUGGCGCGUAUCUGACGCUCAUGUGCGAAAGCUAGGGGAGCGAACGGG